UCUUUUCCAGUACGUACGAGAGAGACAAAUGCAAAGUUGUCACUGACUUGUUUUGUUCGAAUAUAAACCUCUUUGUGUUCACUCAGUGUAUCCGCACGCCAGUGUUUAGUGUUACUCAAAAUGAAGUCCAUACUUCUAUUAAUAUCAUUGAUCGCUUCGGAGUUUUCCCUAACCGAUUUUGGGACACGCGCGAGAGACUUUAGUGUUAAACUUUUAUACAACGUACAAAAUGAAACGGACAGUCACAUGGUUAUGUCCCCGUUCGGAAUAUGGAGUCUCCUAACGGGAAUAGCGAUUGGAACCCAGGGCAGCAGCCAAUUUCAACUGACCGAAGCCCUAAACUUACCUUACAACACCUAUCACAUCGUGCACGGGUACGACAACCUGACAAAAACAGUGCUAGCUCCGGAAACUGGAAGUGUGUCGUUAAUCUCUAAAAACUUUAUGUUCAUCGAUGAAGAUUUGGUGAUUUUCCCCGAAUAUAAGAGCAUAAUGGUGACCCAUUUUAACGCGACGAUUGCGAGCCUCAAUUUCAAGGACCCGGCAUUGGCAGCAAAGAAAGCGAACAGCAUCAUAAAGCAGUCCCGCGCUAGCUCCAAUGAGGUACUAAAGGCUGAAGAUUUCAUGACUUCGAGAUUGAUAGUAACGAAUGCUAUAACUCUGAAAGGAUUAUGGGCGUCGCCUUUCAACGUAUCGGCGACACAAGUGGAACCAUUCUACGACGACAACAAGAGAGUGAUCGGAGAAGUGAAAAUGAUGUACCAGAGGGCACCACUCGCGUUUUCCGUGAUGCAGUCCAUAAAAGCUUCUGUCCUGGAGUUGCCUUACGGUAAUGAUGAGAAGUAUUGUAUGCUCGUUGUGCUCCCGCUGUCGACGUCCAACGUGAAAGAAGUGUUCGAAAAACUAAAGACGACACAACUGUCGGAGAUAUUCAAAACUCUACAGAGCGACGUAGAUGAGUACGGAUUAGAAGAGGUGGACAUAAAAUUGCCGAGAUUUAAGGCGAAUUCGAACAUAAACCUAAACAAGUCGCUGAAGAAAAUGAAUGUCACUCAAAUCUUUGAUCCUACCUUGGCGAGUUUUAGCCGUAUGACAAAAGAGAAUAUAUUUGUCUCUUCCAUAGUCCAUGAAGCCAGCAUUGAGGUGACAGAGACGGGGACAGUGGCAUCAGCUGACACUUCAGCUUAUUUUGCCAAUCGCCAGUCUACACCCAGCUUUGAAGCGAAUCAUCCUUUUAUUUAUUUGAUCAUGGAAAAACCCACUACGACGAUACUUUUCGGAGGCGUUUAUUCAAAACCUUCUAUAUUCUGAUAUUGUGAGAACUUGAUCGGGGAGUUUUUGUUUGUGAUAUCAAAAUAUACUCCCCUACCCUUUUCCCU